GACGAACGCUGGCGGCGUGCCUAAUACAUGCAAGUCGAACGCACUCUCGUUUAGAUUGAAGGAGCUUGCUCCUGAUUGAUAAACAUUUGAGUGAGUGGCGGACGGGUGAGUAACACGUGGGUAACCUGCCCUAAAGUGGGGGAUAACAUUUGGAAACAGAUGCUAAUACCGCAUAAAACCUAACACCGCAUGGUGUAGGGUUGAAAGAUGGUUUCGGCUAUCACUUUAGGAUGGACCCGCGGUGCAUUAGUUAGUUGGUGAGGUAAAGGCUCACCAAAGACCGUUGACUGCAUAGCCGACCUGAGAGGGUAAUCGGCCACACUGGGACUGAGACAGGCCCAGACUCCUACGGGA
rnacentral:rRNA from 1 species